UAAGGAAUAUUGGUCAAUGGACGCAAGUCUGAACCAGCCAUGCCGCGUGGAGGAUGAAGGUCCUCUGGAUUGUAAACUUCUUUUAUCUGAGAAGAAACCCGGAAAUUCUUUUCCGGCUGACGGUACCAGAUGAAUAAGCACCGGCUAACUCCGUGCCAGCAGCCGCGGUAAUACGGAGGGUGCAAGCGUUAUCCGGAUUCACUGGGUUUAAAGGGUGCGUAGGUGGGUCGGUAAGUCCGUGGUGAAAUCUCCGAGCUUAACUCGGAAACUGCCGUGGAUACUAUCGAUCUUGAAUACUGUGGAGGUAAGCGGAAUAUGUCAUGUAGCGGUGAAAUGCUUAGAUAUGACAUAGAACACCGAUAGCGAAGGCAGCUUGCUACACAGUUAUUGACACUGAGGCACGAAAGCGUGGGGAGCAAACAG
rnacentral:rRNA from 1 species